GUGCCAGCCGCCGCGGUAAUACGGAGGGUGCAAGCGUUGUUCGGAAUCACUGGGCGUAAAGGGCGCGCAGGCGGUUUUACAAGUCAGAUGUGAAAGCCCACGGCUCAACCGUGGAAGUGCAUUUGAAACUGUAUGACUUGAGCACCAGAGGGGAAGGUGGAAUUCCCGGUGUAGAGGUGAAACUCGUAGAUAUCGGGAGGAAUACCGGUGGCGAAGGCGACUUUCUGGCUGGAUACUGACGCUGAGGCGCGAAAGCGUGGGGAGCAAACAGGAUUAGAUACCCGGGUAGUCC
rnacentral:rRNA from 1 species